rnacentral:sRNA from 1 species
GGGAAUGUGGAAUCCUGUUUGUUCUCUGUGGGGGUCCAUUCUAUCCCUGUGACCUGGGAAGAGGAUGGUCGCCCUAUCGGGGUGGAGGGCAUCCAGGUGCUGGGCACAGGAAACCUCAUCAUCUCAGACGUGACGGUCCAGCACUCUGGCGUCUACGUCUGUGCAGCCAACAGACCUGGCACCCGGGUGAGGAGAACGGCACAGGGCCGGCUGGUGGUGCAAGCCCCAGCUGAGUUUGUGCAGCAUCCCCAGUCCAUCUCCAGGCCAGCUGGGACCACAGCCAUGUUCACCUGCCAAGCCCAGGGUGAGCCACCGCCUCAUGUCACAUGGCUGAAAAAUGGACAGGUGCUGGGGCCAGGAGGCCACGUCAGGCUCAAGAAUAACAACAGCACACUGACCAUUUCUGGAAUCGGUCCUGAGGAUGAAGCCAUUUACCAGUGUGUGGCCGAGAACAGUGCAGGCUCAUCACAGGCCAGUGCCAGGCUGACUGUACUGUGGGCUGAGGGGCUCCCCGGGCCUCCCCGCAAUGUGCGGGCAGUCUCUGUGUCUUCCACUGAGGUGCGUGUGUCCUGGAGUGAGCCACUGGCCAACACCAAGGAGAUCAUCGGCUACGUCCUGCACAUCAGGAAGGCUGCUGACCCACCGGAGCUGGAGUAUCAGGAGGCAGUCAGCAAGAGCACCUUUCAGCACCUGGUCAGCGACCUGGAGCCCUCCACGGCCUACAGUUUCUACAUCAAGGCCUACACAC